rnacentral:rRNA from 1 species
AUCUAUGGCCACACCAACCUGAAUGCGCCCAAUCUCAUCUGAUCUCGGAAGCUAAGCAGGGUUGGGCCUGGUUAGUACUUGGAUGGGAGAAUGCACUGGUCAUAGCAC